ACUAUUUUACAGGUAUUGCAGACGUUGAGUUUUGGGACGAGACGUGAGGUACGUUCGUAGCGGUCGAUAGAGCUUCCGACCCAGAUUAUCGGUUUAGUUUUAUCCCUACUAUUCUGUUGUUAUAGCUUAGUCAGUUUAUAUGGUUCAGUAUUUUUUAUUAUAUUGGAAUAUGUGGACUUUCAUGAAUGUAAUAAAAGAAUUUCUGGAUUUGGUAAAAUAAAAGGUUUUCUACCCCUCGUGGUAGCUUUUAUAAAAGAUAAAAGUUUUCGCGUAUGGAACAGUUUUUAAAAGGUUUUUCGUGGACUUUUGUUUAAACAUCGAAUGUAAAACUACGGUGUGAAUGGUAAAUGUAUGAAUGUAUAGCUAUCUGUAUAUUCAUUUAGUUGUGGUUGUAUACUGUUUGUACUUUUGUACUUGUG
rnacentral:lncRNA from 1 species